rnacentral:snoRNA from 10 species
UGGCAUGUGAUGCACAAUCUUAUCCUACACACUGAAUGCAAUGUGUGGACAAAUACUCUGCUUAUUAUCUGAUGCCA